GCCGCAGCGGUAGAGAGUCAGCCGCGCACCAGCCCAGCCGCUCAGUCGCUCGCAGCACGCCGCACCGAGCAGUCGCUGCCUCACUACCUGACCUGCCGCACCGCACGCACAGUCAGAUCCUCACUGCGUAGUCCAGAGCCUAAACAGCACCAGCCAACGCAGAGAUCCCUCUAGCUGCAAUUUUUGCUGAUAUACACAGAGUACACCUCCGAGAAACGCGUACUUCGUGGCCAGUACUACUGGUUCUGAAAGGAACGAUUACGACGCAGGUGUCACAGUGUGCGUGGAUAAAGAGCGGUUCCUGUCUAGCCGUCGCCAACUGAGUGGUUAUCACUCAAGAAGAGGCAGCCGGGUAUAGGGGAUUCACUCAUUCAACGAGCUGCAGAGGUGGAGAAACCUGGUUACUGGUAGACUGCGCAAUCCGUGACAUCUGUUGACUGCAAGAAAGAUACCGGUUUACCUUGAAG